UCUAAACUAAUGAAGCAGGAUGCUGAACAAAAUUUAGUUCUGAGGCACCAUACAUUGUCACAAAACAAUUUAUGUUUAUUUAAACUUACAAUUAAGUGUCCUGCUCGGAAAGUAUUCAGACCCCUUCACUUCCUCCUAAUUUGGGUGAGGUAUGCAGGGCCGGCCCUAUACCAGGCAGCCCCAGACUGCUAGUGAGCCCUGGACCACUUGAAAUGCUCCAAUCAUGUUUUUAAUGUAUUGCAAAAACGUCUUCCCUGUACACCAGUCUCUCUUGCUUGUCAACUAUCUUUUCUUAACAUCAUCCCCUAAUAAUAACCUAAGUACUUUGUUUCAAUUAACCAUUCUCUACAACUGUUCAUGAAUUGCCUCCCAGACUCCUAAUAAAAGCAACUAGCUGCUUACUAAUGAGGCAAUAUGAAUAUAUUGCUAAAUAUAGUGUGGUUGAAUUUAUAACACAAUCCCUCUCCAAAGCUCAUGAGCUUUUUUAUUAGAUAUGUCCUGUACAAUAACUUAAGCUCCAACCAUUUUAUCCUGUGCUCCACCUUAUAGUAUUCUUUACCUUCUGUAAAAUUUUAUUUAAAUAGUAAUUUUGUUUUGGUUAGAUUUUUCCCACAAAAAUUUACACAAUACACACUACAUAUGCCAUGUUCCAGUUACCUCAGAAGUCCGAACUGGGAAUGACGUAACACCCAGGUUAAUCCUAAAUCAGAAAAAAUUAUGGAGGUCCCCAGGAAAGCCUUUGUUGUGCUUGCCCUUUCUGAAUAUAUAGACAACUACAGGACAAAUAUAAGGCCCACCUCAAAAACGUAAUUGAAGAAGAUGGAAAACGCACAAGUCAUGGCACACCACCAGUCCCUGUAACAAAGAAGUUGUUGAUGUUCCUGUGGUACAUGGCCAACCAGAACAGCUUUAGGGAGACAAGUUUGAUGUGUCACAGUCAUCAGCACACAGGAUCAUCCUAGAACUGCUUAACAUAAUUUGCACAGUGGGACCAACCUUCAUCUCCUAGCCAGUGGGACCAACCUUCAUCUCCUAGCCAGUGGGACCAACCUUCAUCUCCUAGCCAGUGGGACCAACCUUCAUCUCCUGGCCAAAUUAUUGUAAGAAAGCAGAGUCUGCUGUGGAGUUCCACCACCCCUGUGGCCUCAGUGAUGUGAUUGUUGGGUACUACAUGACUACAUGAACAGAAACUCCGUCCUCCUUCAGGGGAUUGUAGAUUAAUUGACAUUUUUGCUGGACCAGCGGGCAGGGUUUACGAUGCCAGGAUGUCGAGGGCCUUCAACUUCUUCACAACAUGGCAGGAGAAGAUGGGUGAGUACAGAUUGCUGGGAGACAGUGCCUGCAUUGGACAGGCCUUCCCAUUUGUCAGAUCCCCUAAGCGUGACGAGGCGGCUCCUCCUGAAGUAGAUCAGCUACAUUACUCCAAGAUCAGCCGUGGGAGGGUGAAGUGCAAGUGGUGGCGUCUUCGUGAUCUGCAGAACGCACGGAUUGAUGCUGUGGUGAUGAUCAUGAUGGCAGCCUGUUUUCUACACAUGUGCAUUGGUGCUUCAGAGGAUUUUAUCAAUUAAGUGAUUGCUACCAUUGAUGCCUUGUACAUUGUGUGUACCAGUAAAGAAGUGUUUUCCUCAGUGAA